rnacentral:lncRNA from 1 species
GAGAGAAGAAGGAAGGAGGAAGAAGAAAGAAGAAGAAGAAAGGAAGGAGAAAAAGAAAAAGAAAAAGGGAGGGGAAAAAAGAGAAAAGAAAGGGGAAACCGGCGGCGAUUGCGGCACGCGGCGAAAGUUACGGAAGGGGGUAAAUGAUGGCUGUCGGCGUGGGUGCCGGGACGGCGAAAUCGUCGGGAAGAGUUUGGAUUUCCGGGAGCUCAGCGGUAAAAAGAUUUUGAAAGCAAUUUUUAACGGGUGAUUUAAGGUGGUGAUUUCUGCGGAUGUUACAUUGGCGCCAUGGAGGCUGGCGCCAAGACGUUAUAGCUUGGCGCCAGCCAUCCUCGCGCCAAGCUAAGGGUCCAUUUUUGGAAUUGGU